rnacentral:tRNA from 1 species
UCCCUGGUGGCUCAGAUGGUAAAGCAUCUGCCUAUAAUGUGGGAGACCCGGGUUCGAUCCCUGGAUCGGGAA